rnacentral:rRNA from 1 species
UUCUGAGUAAAAAAACAAAUAAAUCAAAACUUUCAACAACGGAUCUCUUGGUUCUGGCAUCGAUGAAGAACGCAGCAAAAUGCGAUAAGUAAUGUGAAUUGCAGAAUUCAGUGAAUCAUCGAAUCUUUGAACGCACAUUGCGCCCGCCAGUAUUCUGGCGGGCAUGCCUGUUCGAGCGUCAUUUCAACCCUCAAGCCCAGCUUGGUGUUGGGAAUUGUUUGUCACAGAACAUUCCCCAAAUUGAUUGGCGGUCACGUCGAGCUUCCAUAGCGUAGUAAUUUACACAUCGUUACUGGUAAUCGUCGCGGCCACGCCGUUAAACCCCAACUUCUGAAUGUUGACCUCGGAUCAGGUAGGAAUACCCGCUGAACUUAAGCAUAUCAAUAAGCGGAGGA